AAGGGCACAGUACUUGAAACACAGGCAGGGCCAGGGCAGAACUGGAAGGAGGGGCUUUAAUCCAGUGGGGUCUUUUGGGGUUGCUGCAAGGCAAGACUCUUCCCAGACUUCUCAAGACUAGUCUGGGCUGUCUUUUCCCAGAAACAGAUGCAACAGUAGCAAUAACAGCAGCAGUCUCCCACAAGCACACCCCAAACCACGAACAUGUUGUUAACUUAUCCUUCUCAGUAUCUCCCACAGGCAGAAAGAGCCAGGGAAACAGGGUGUUUGGGGAUUUGUUUUUGUUUGUUUCUUUGCUUUUAUUAAAUAAUGUGCUGAUUCUGGCUGGAGUACAUUUCUUUAUAGUACCUAGAAUGGGACUAUAUUUUGAAUUUGUACUGGAAACCGUGUUGAUAAUUCAGGGGUGUUUUAGUUAUUGCUGAGCAGUGCUGACAGAGAGUCAAGGCCUCCUCUGCUCCUCCUACCACCCACCGGGGAGUAGCUGUGGGUGCACAAAGUCUGAGAGGGAGCACAGCUGGUUCAGCUGACCCCAACUGACCAAAGGGGUAUUCCAGACCAUAUCACAUCAUGCUCAGCAUUUAAAGAUGGGGGAAGAAGAAGGAAGGGGGGGACAUUGAGUGAUGGCAUUUGCAUUUCCAUGUAACUGCUGUGCUUUUCUGGAGUAGGCAGAACUCUUGGGUGUUGAUGGAACUAGUGAAUGAAUUCUUUGCUUUGCUUUGCUUGUACUCACAGUGUUUGCUUUAUUUAUUAAACUGUUGAGUUCUUUAUUAAACCCAUGAAUUUUCUCAUUUUUACUGAGAAAGCAGCUGUGUGGUCCUGAGUUGCCAUCUGUGGUGAAACCAUGACAAAGAAACAAAUGAGCAUUGAAUGAGUUAAAAUUUUAACAUGGAAAGGCAGAAGUCAACUGCAUUUGGACACUUCAUAUUGUUUAGGGAGUCUCACAGGAAUGUUGCAGCAGCCCAUAACCAUAGUAAAUUAAUUGUAUCUUAGAAGAGAGUGGCCCUGCACCAGGAACUGCACUGCCAAGAUGUUUUUUUCCCAGGAGAUGAUUAAAAAAAUUCCUUCUCUGCACUCCUGUCUUUGGUUCCAUGUGAAUAAACACAGGUGUUCUUAUUCUGA